rnacentral:rRNA from 1 species
AAUAGAUACCCAGGUAGUCCAUGCCGUAAACGAUGUCUACUAGCCGUUGGGUCCUUUGAGGACUUAGUGGCGCAGCUAACGCGAUAAGUAGACCGCCUGGGGAGUACGGUCGCAAGACUAAAACUCAAAUGAAUUGACGGGGGCCCGCACAAGCGGUGGAGCAUGUGGUUUAAUUCGAUGCAACGCGAAGAACCUUACCUGGCCUUGACAUACUAGAAACUUUCCAGAGAUGGAUUGGUGCCUUCGGGAAUCUAGAUACAGGUGCUGCAUGGCUGUCGUCAGCUCGUGUCGUGAGAUGUUGGGUUAAGUCCCGCAACGAGCGCAACCCUUUUCCUUACUUGCCAGCAUUUUGGAUGGGAACUUUAAGGAUACUGCCAGUGACAAACUGGAGGAAGGCGGGGACGACGUCAAGUCAUCAUGGCCCUUACGGCCAGGGCUACACACGUGCUACAAUGGUCGGUACAAAGGGUUGCUACCUAGCGAUAGGAUGCUAAUCUCAAAAAGCCGAUCGUAGUCCGGA